UAGCGCAGUAGGAUAGCGCGUCAGUCUCAUAAUGUGAAGGUCGUGAGUUCGAGCCUCAC
rfam:Toxocara canis scaffold533, whole genome shotgun sequence.